rnacentral:rRNA from 1 species
UAGGGAAUCUUCGGCAAUGGGGGCAACCCUGACCGAGCAACGCCGCGUGAGUGAAGAAGGUUUUCGGAUCGUAAAGCUCUGUUGUAAGAGAAGAACGAGUGUGAGAGUGGAAAGUUCACACUGUGACGGUAACUUACCAGAAAGGGACGGCUAACUACGUGCCAGCAGCCGCGGUAAUACGUAGGUCCCGAGCGUUAUCCGGAUUUAUUGGGCGUAAAGCGAGCGCAGGCGGUUAGAUAAGUCUGAAGUUAAAGGCUGUGGCUUAACCAUAGUACGCUUUGGAAACUGUUUAACUUGAGUGCAGAAGGGGAGAGUGGAAUUCCAUGUGUAGCGGUGAAAUGCGUAGAUAUAUGGAGAAACACCGGUGGCGAAAGCGGCUCUCUGGUCUGUAACUGACGCUGAGGCUCGAAAGCGUGGGGAGCAAACAGGAUUAGAUACCCUGGUAGUCCACGCCGUAAACGAUGAGUGCUAGGUGUUGGGUCCUUUCCGGGACUCAGUGCCGCAGCUAACGCAUUAAGCACUCCGCCUGGGGAGUACGACCGCAAGGUUG